AACAGGAUUAGAUACCCUGGUAGUCCACGCCGUAAACGAUGUCUACUUGGAGGCUGUGCCCUUGAGGCGUGGCUUCCGGAGCUAACGCGUUAAGUAGACCGCCUGGGGAGUACGGCCGCAAGGUUAAAACUCAAAUGAAUUGACGGGGGCCCGCACAAGCGGUGGAGCAUGUGGUUUAAUUCGAUGCAACGCGAAGAACCUUACCUACUCUUGACAUCCAGAGAACUUAGCAGAGAUGCUUUGGUGCCUUCGGGAACUCUGAGACAGGUGCUGCAUGGCUGUCGUCAGCUCGUGUUGUGAAAUGUUGGGUUAAGUCCCGCAACGAGCGCAACCCUUAUCCUUUGUUGCCAGCGGUCCGGCCGGGAACUCAAAGGAGGCUGCCAGUGAUAAACUGGAGGAAGGUGGGGAUGACGUCAAGUCAUCAUGGCCCUUACGAGUAGGGCUACACACGUGCUACAAUGGCGCAUACAAAGAGAAGCGACCUCGCGAGAGCAAGCGGACCUCAUAAAGUGCGUCGUAGUCCGGAUUGGAGUCUGCAACUCGACUCCACGAAGUCGGAAUCGCUAGUAAUCGUGGAUCAGAAUGCCACGGUGAAUACGUUCCCGGGCCUUGUACACACCGCCCGUCACACCAUGGGAGUGGGUUGCAAAAGAAGUAGGUAGCUUAACCUUCGGGAGGGCGCUUACCACUUUGUGAUUCAUGACUGGGGUGAAGUCGUAACAAGGUAACC
rnacentral:rRNA from 1 species